rnacentral:misc_RNA from 1 species
GAUGAAGAACGUAGCGAAAUGCGAUAAGUAAUGCGAAUUGCAGAAUCCGUGAGUCAUCGAAUCUUUGAACGCACAUUGCGCCCUCUGGUAUUCCGGAGGGCAUGCCUGUUCGAGCGUCAUUAUCACCCCUCAAGCCCGGCUUGUUGUUGGAUGCAGCGCUUAUCCCGCUCCUCCCAAAGAUAAUGACGGCGUCUGCGACGACUCCUGUACACUGAGCUUUCGGGCACGUACACGGCUAGAAGUCCAGACCCGGUCGCCGUUCCCCCCGCGGGGACACCCAUUACCACAAGGUUGACCUCGGAUCAGGUAGGAAUACCCGCUGAACUUAAGCAUAUCAAUAAGCGGAGGA